GACAGCAGCCGCCGCGGUAAUACGUAGGGUGCGAGCGUUAAUCGGAAUUACUGGGCGUAAAGCGUGCGCAUGCGGUUCGUUAAGUCAGAUGUGAAAUCCCCGAGCUUAACUUGGGAACUGCAUUUGAAACUGGCAAGCUAGAGUCUUGUAGAGGGGGGUAGAAUUCCAGGUGUAGCGGUGAAAUGCGUAGAGAUCUGGAGGAAUACCGGUGGCGAAGGCGGCCCCCUGGACAAAGACUGACGCUCAGGUGCGAAAGCGUGGGGAGCAAACAGAAUUAGAUACCCCUGUAGUCCCUGUCUCUUAUAC
rnacentral:rRNA from 1 species